rnacentral:rRNA from 1 species
UACGUAGGCAGCGAGCGUUGUUCGGAGUUACUGGGCGUAAAGGGUGUGUAGGCGGUUGUUUAAGUUUGGUGUGAAAUCUCCCGGCUCAACCGGGAGGGUGCGCCGAAUACUGAAUGACUUCGAGUGCGGGAGAGGAAAGUGGAAUUCCUGGUGUAGCGGUGAAAUGCGUAGAUAUCAGGAGGAACACCGGUGGUGUAGACGGCUCACUGGACCGUAACUGACGCUGAGACAGAAAGCGUGGGUAGCAAACAGGAUUAGAACUAC